rnacentral:rRNA from 1 species
GAUGAACGCUGGCGGCGUGCCUAAUACAUGCAAGUCGAGCGAACAGACGAGGAGCUUGCUCCUCUGACGUUAGCGGCGGACGGGUGAGUAACACGUGGAUAACCUACCUAUAAGACUGGGAUAACUUCGGGAAACCGGAGCUAAUACCGGAUAAUAUAUUGAACCGCAUGGUUCAAUAGUGAAAGACGGUUUUGCUGUCACUUAUAGAUGGAUCCGCGCCGCAUUAGCUAGUUGGUAAGGUAACGGCUUACCAAGGCAACGAUGCGUAGCCGACCUGAGAGGGUGAUCGGCCACACUGGAACUGAGACACGGUCCAGACUCCGACGGGAGGCAGCAGUAGGGAAUCUUCCGCAAUGGGCGAAAGCCUGACGGAGCAACGCCGCGUGAGUGAUGAAGGUCUUCGGAUGGUAAAACUCCGUUAUUAGGGAAGAACAAAUGUGUAAGUAACUAUGCACGUCUUGACGGUACCUAAUCAGAAAGCCACGGCUAACUACGUG